GAUGAACGCUGGCGGCGUGCCUAAUACAUGCAAGUCGAGCGAACGGACGAGAAGCUUGCUUCUCUGAUGUUAGCGGCGGACGGGUGAGUAACACGUGGAUAACCUACCUAUAAGACUGGGAUAACUUCGGGAAACCGUAGCUAAUACCGGAUAAUAUUUUGAACCGCAUGGUUCAAAAGUGAAAGACGGUCUUGCUGUCACUUAUAGAUGGAUCCGCGCUGCAUUAGCUAGUUGGUAAGGUAACGGCUUACCAAGGCAACGAUGCAUAGCCGACCUGAGAGGGUGAUCGGCCACACUGGAACUGAGACACGGUCCAGACUCCUACGGGAGGCAGCAGUAGGGAAUCUUCCGCAAUGGGCGAAAGCCUGACGGAGCAACGCCGCGUGAGUGAUGAAGGUCUUCGGAUCGUAAAACUCUGUUAUUAGGGAAGAACAUAUGUGUAAGUAACUGUGCACAUCUUGACGGUGCCUAAUCAGAAAGCCACGGCUAACUACGUG
rnacentral:rRNA from 1 species